UUGACGGGACCGCACAAGCGGUGGAUGAUGUGGUUUAAUUCGACGCAACGCGAAAACCUUACCACCUUUGACAUGUACGGAAGUCGCUAGAGAUAGCUUCGUGCUCGAAAGAGAGCCGUAACACAGGUGCUGCAUGGCUGUCGUCAGCUCGUGUCGUGAGAUGUUGGGUUAAGUCCCGCAACGAGCGCAACCCUUGUCAUUAGUUGCUACAUUCAGUUGGGCACUCUAAUGAGACUGCCGGUGACAAACCGGAGGAAGGUGGGGAUGACGUCAAGUCCUCAUGGCCCUUAUAGGUGGGGCUACACACGUCAUACAAUGGCUGGUACAAAGGGUUGCCAACCCGCGAGGGGGAGCUAAUCCCAUAAAACCAGUCGUAGUCCGGAUCGCAGUCUGCAACUCGACUGCGUGAAGUCGGAAUCGCUAGUAAUCGUGGAUCAGAAUGUCACGGUGAAUACGUUCCCGGGUCUU
rnacentral:rRNA from 1 species